UAGGUAUUGUUUUCUGGGAACCCUGCUUA
rnacentral:piRNA from 1 species